CACUGCUAUUCUUUUGUCUCUUUCCUCUCUCCCUUCCAUUUCUCCCAUCACCGCAUACCUAUAUUCCCCAAGGCCGUAAAUUUGCUAUCCUACAUCAUAUGACCGCGUAACCACCACCACUAACCUCCUCUCUUCCUCCUCUACAAAACCGAGAUUUUCAUUUUUCCGAUCUACCAAUUUUAUUUUCGCGACCGCGUAACCACCUACGCCGUGACGGUGAUUUUUUCACGUUCAUUUCACCUAUUUAUUUACUUGUAGUACUGUAGAGUUGGUUUUAUGGGAGAUCUCAUUUCUUUGGUGGUUGGUGGAUUUCAUCAAGAUGGGGAAAGGGACUUCAACUCUACAUUUGGUUUCUUUUUCAGAAGUGUGAUCAAGGACAAUGGAUGUUUGUUCGUGAGGAGCUAAUGUUUGUUAGUGAGGAGCUACCGGUUGCAAUAACUUCGGGCUGCUAAAACAUUAUGAGG